rnacentral:snRNA from 13 species
AACCUGACGCCAGUGGCAGUAUCAUAGCCAAUGAGGUUUAUCCGAGGCUCGAUUAUUGCUAAUUGAAAAUUCCUAAAAGAAUAUAGGCUGUGAUGUCUUUAAUAUUGACCAGACAUGCCCAGGAAUUGGGCCCAGACAAGGAGAAACAAUGUUGCAAAUCUAAUGACAUAAAAAUUAAAUAAU